rnacentral:rRNA from 1 species
UACGUAGGGUGCAAGCGUUAAUCGGAAUUACUGGGCGUAAAGCGUGCGCAGGCGGUUUUGUAAGACUGUCGUGAAAUCCCCGGGCUCAACCUGGGAAUUGCGAUGGAGACUGCACGGCUAGAGUGUGUCAGAGGGGGGUAGAAUUCCACGUGUAGCAGUGAAAUGCGUAGAUAUGUGGAGGAACACCGAUGGCGAAGGCAGCCCCCUGGGAUAACACUGACGCUCAUGCACGAAAGCGUGGGGAGCAAACAGG